UUUAAAGAAGAGAGGAAAAAGUUUAUUGUGUUGAGCAGACCUUAUUUUCAUUACAGUAUCAAGAAAUUCUUUCUCAGUUCCCUUUGGAUGCAGAGACCCUACAGACUUAAACCCCAAAGCUGUUCCUGAGCAUGGGGCAGCACCUGAACACAUGUUGAAUUUAAUGGGACAGAAUUACAGUAAGGUUGAUACUUAUAAAGAUUGUUAAAACAUUAUUUCUUUAAAAAUCCUAACCUUUGUCUCAGUUUUCCCUUGUUUACCUUAUUUCUGUGUUAACUAUUUGGAAAAUAUGGUACAGUACUUGAUAACUUUUUGUUCCAAAUCGUCAACAUUUGGUUAAGUGUAUUUUGCUUUUUGUUGCUGUUACAGUUCCUCUGCAACUCUCAAUAGUAAUAAGUAAGGCAAUGCCGAAACACAAGUGGGAGGAAGGCCUUGGAUCUGUACCCCAUGCUAUGUCCCACUUGCCCUGCCACAGCUGCCUCUGUGUUGCUAGGGAACUGGGAAUGCUCAGAAGGGGGCCUCUUGUUUGCAAAAAUCAUUACCAUGGACUUUAAACUUUACAGAUUACUUCUAGGGGGCGUGCAGUUGCUUGAAGUCGAUUUUGUGGUUUGUUUUUGUAAACUGUCAGCACUCAGUGACACCGUGAGGGAGUGGGAGCCUCUGCUCCAUUCACUGACUCAUUGCGCAUGGAGUACAGAAGCAGUUUCUGUAUUAUAUGGAGAAAUAAAACAAAUAAUGAGAAGUGUACAUCCACUAGAUACUCUGAAAUCUCAGCAAUGACCUGAGCUAAUCAUAAAUUCAAUCAGGUAAUGAACAAAGUCCUAAUUUAGAUCCUUUCUUCACUACAUUAAGGCAGAGAAAACAAGACUUUAAAUAAAUAGUUACCCUACCAAACUAAGCCUAUGACAAGCUAUAUUUGAUUCUGAUUACUGCCAGAAAAUGACCCCGUAAAAUCAGGUACUUAAAAAGUUAAUUAUUAAAAUUAAACAAUGGUAUACAUACUUAAAUAACUUUGCACAUGAUAUAUUCUCCAUUUUUUAAUUCACCCUUCACUUUUGUUACCGAGACAAAGUUUCCAUCAAGUGUCUUUACCAAUACACUUCCCUUUCAGUGAAAUUCUAUCCAGGAAAAAUGGACCAGAAUUCCCUUGUAACUCUUGAGUUGAAUUAUUUCUUUUAUUCAUUUAAGCCAAAUUCAGAACAGCAAGUUUAGAAAAAGACUGCUUUCAUGGACCUACAUGUACUCAUUGGGGAAAGUGGGGAGGAGAGGAGCCAUUCUCUGCUGUGUGAGUGGUGUCCAACCUGCAUAAGACAAUAUGGUGUCAGUAAAGUACACUUCCCAGCUAAAGGGAGCUUAGAGAUUUCCUUCCUUCCUCUCACCUGGGCUAGUCUCUUCUAAAAAUUGUACUCCCCUCUCUAGCUCUCAGCCCUUCAUAAAAGUUGUUCAGGCAGAGCCUUAAGGUUCAGAACAUAAAGAUGUGUAAACAGCAGAGGAAAUUAAGCUCCCUUUACAGAAAUUGUCUUAAUAUAUUCAAUAUGUCAUCUAUGCUAUCUCAAGAGUUGAGCUCAAAAUACACGGGCCACUGUGAAGCCUGUGCACUUAGUAUAUGCAACACCUGAAUGCUCAAUCUGAAAUGCAAUUUUUGACAGACUCUCAGCCUCACCAGUCUUACUGAAAAUCCACAUGUCAUUGCUCUCAAUGUGCUAAGUACUCAGUACACUUUAACCAAACCCAGGUGGCCAGAGACCCUGACCAUGGCACACCCCCAGAAGCAGGCUGUGACAGGUUCUGAUCUCAAACACACUGCUCACAGAACAAAAAAACAGGUUCCCAUUACUGCAUGUCAUUCUGACACAUCACAUUAUUUCAUAUCACUCUGCUGAUUCAGAAAGGGAAAUUUCCACUAUGGCAUGAUGAGAAAUAUAAAUCCAUUAUUCACAAAGGCUACGAACAAUGCACUGUGACAGUUUCCAGAAGCUUGAACUUUCAGAGCUAUCAGUUUCUGCUUCUGGAGAAAACAAACUAUUCCAAGGCACAGUAUAUGUUCUCAGAGCAGACAGGACAGAUAGAGCAACCAGGACUACAUUACAGUGGUACCACCAUUCCCCGGGCACUGGUUAAUGUGGAAAGGGGAUUAUGCUACAUAAGGAAAGAAAGAGAUUGGCAGAAGGAGGGGCCUAGACUUCCUCAGAAUUAAGCUUGUAUCAUUCAGUCAACUACUGAUAAGGCUUAUGUCACGGCGGUAACAGAUACAGACCAUCAGUGACACCAGGAAACACACCCUACAGAGAAUGUAUGUAUUUUAAAAACGCUGUACCUUUUAUGUAGAAUAUUCAUGAGAGUUGUUAAAAGGCAGGGUGAAAGCUGGCUAGUGGAAUCAGCAUUUAAAAGCAUAUCCCACUGGCCAGGGAUUUAGCUCAGUGGUUCCACUGGUCUGAUCCCUGGUACCAAAAAACAAAACAAAACAAAACAAAAGCAUAUCCCACUGACUUGAGUAUUUCCUGCUCAGCCUCCCAGACAGCGCCCUGGGGAAAAGGUACUUUUCUGCCUACAAUUCUGGACAGCAGCUGCAGCCUCUCUGAAAGCUUAAUUAAAUGUGAAGAUGAAGCCUGAACAAAAGUUUCUUGAUGUCACAAUCUUAUCCCUUUAACUGCUUGACCCAGAUUAGGGCUGGGCAGGGAGAAACUAUGCCACAGCCUUUCUCCCUUCCUCAACUUCUUAUGAAAUUAUGAAAGCAAAGUCAAAAGGUCCUUCAGAGCUAGACAUGAUGGCACAUACUUGUAAUCCCAGCACUUGGGAGGCUCAUGAGCUCCAGGUCAGCUUUUCAGCCUGGGCUACAUAGGAAGAUCCUGCCUCAAGGACCAAGAACCAAAACCAAACCAACACAAAACAACAACAAAAACUUCUUGAGACUGUGAGGCUCCUAAGCUACCUUUUGCAUCUGAAAAUGGAAAAGAUAAAUUAUUGAUAUUUGGAGUAACACUGUGGUUUAAAAAGAAAAGUGCACAUCAAUGGCUUAGAAGGGAGUAAAGACUUAG
ensembl:lncRNA